GUAGACCUCCACCUCUUUCCAAGCUCUUAGGCUCACACCUUUCUUCCUACUUCCAACAUAACAGCGGAUCUGUUCGAUCGGGACCUAACUCUGGUUAGAUUUCUAAGAAAUCCUCAGGCCCCUUGACUCCAUAGCUCCAAGUAACUGGCCUUAUCACCUCUAGGCCAUUGGGCUUGGGCCCACUAAGUUUCAGGGCCAGAAGGUCGUCCAAUCAGCUGGAACACACUGGCUCAACGAGCAAAGUGUUGUAUGGUUCGUCCGUGACCACUUUGAGUGAGGAGGUGAAAAUGGAGUUUCGGGUGUCGAAAGUGGCGGUUUGGGUGUUCAUGGUGGUGGCGGUGAUGGGAUUGUUGGUGGGUGGGUUUCUGAUAGUGGCCGUCAAGAAAUGGGUGAUGUUGGUAGCAGUGGCGCUCUUUCUGGUGCUAGUGUUGGUGAUUGUUGUUUGGAAUUGUGUUUGGGGAAGAAAAUGGCUUCUAGGUUUUGUGAGGAGGUACCCAAAUGCUAAGCUCAGAGGUGCCAUUGACGGAUAGUACGUCAAGGUUACAAGGAUGCUUUCCCAAUUUAUUAUUGAUAUUACAUAAAGAAUUCAGAAGAAGCUCACGUGCUCACAAUUGUUCAAAGAACCUCAAGUUCUGGCUGCUGCCAAUGAUGACCUCAGGCAAGAAAAUACAAAUUGCAGAGAGAGAGCAGAGAGACAAGGAAGAAGGGGUACAUUUUUACCCCUGUAUUUAAUGGACAUUUAAUAGAAAAAUCACUUAUGGAAUAAAUUUGCUAACGGACUAAUACCACGAGGGUUUAAAUCCUAAUUUUUUUUACCAUGGGGACCAUCUUCUAAUUACAUUAGCACCACAUGGACCAUUUAUAUGAUUAGGCCGGCUAUUAAACUACAAGAAUUUCUUCUGGUUCGCUAUUUAGAUUAUUGGAUUGGACCGAAAUCUGCCCAUUAUAAAGAUAGAGGUGUUUAAAAUAUUGGUAUCGAUGGAAAUAUCGAUAUGCAAA